rnacentral:rRNA from 1 species
AGCGAACGCUGGCGGCAGGCUUAACACAUGCAAGUCGAACGGUCCUUCGGGAUAGUGGCGGACGGGUGAGUAACACGUGGGAACGUACCCUUAGGUUCGGAACAACACAGGGAAACUUGUGCUAAUACCGGAUGAGCCCUUCGGGGGAAAGAUUUAUCGCCUUUGGAGCGGCCCGCGUCUGAUUAGCUAGUUGGUGAGGUAAUGGCUCACCAAGGCGACGAUCAGUAGCUGGUCUGAGAGGAUGGCCAGCCACACUGGGACUGAGACACGGCCCAGACUCCUACGGGAGGCAGCAGUGGGGAAUCUUGCGCAAUGGGCGAAAGCCUGACGCAGCCAUGCCGCGUGGAUGAUGAAGGUCUUAGGAUUGUAAAAUCCUUUCACCGGGGACGAUAAUGACGGUACCCGGAGAAGAAGCCCCGGCUAACUUCGUGCCAGCAGCCGCAGUAA